UGUUUCAACUGUGGGCUACCCAGACAUUAUGUGGGUAUGUGCCAGAUUCCUAGGAAGUGUUUCAUGUGUGUUGUUCCUGGGCACCAUAUGGAUGCUUGCCCCCUGUGGUACAAGCCCUACCCAGCAGCUCAGUUCUGGGGUAGUGCUGGGAAUGGCUUGGGCUUCUUUCAUCUUGAGGCUGGAGAAAAAAGCAACAGUGACUGGCUGAAUUUUGGAACUGUGGAUCUUGUGGUUAUUGAAGAAGGAGAAAUUUCUGCUGAGGAACUGGGUGCUUGCUUCACUAGCAUGUGGAAAACCAACUGGCCCUGGCAGAUUAGAGCCUAUGAUGAGUCCCAAUACCUAGUCAGAUUCCCCUCUAACAAGAAAAUCACUGAUUUAGUUGCUUAUGACUCCAUCAACCUCAAGAAGAAAGGGGUCUCAAUUUCUUUUAAGAAUUGGCAUGGAGAGUUGCCUGCUUAUGACUCCCUGACUGAGAUUUGGGUGGAAAUUGUGGGUCUGCCUCCUGUGUGGUGUUCUUGGUCUGUGAUUGCCCCCAAGUUGCUGCUACUUUGGGUGUCAUUACUAACAUUGAUUGGCAUGGGAUUUUCAGUAGUUUUUAUGAGGUGGUGA
rnacentral:rRNA from 1 species